rnacentral:lncRNA from 1 species
AAAAAAGUUGGAAAAGCAUGUAUUUUUAUUAUUUUUUGCAGGAUAUAACCAGAAUAAUACUGCUAUAAAAAUUUCUUAGGGGAAGUGUUUUCUGAGUUGAUUUUAAUAUUUCUCUAUGAUAAUACAGCAUGCUUGAAUUAUCCUCCCAAAAAAGUUUUCCGUGAUUAUAAAAGUUUUUACUUUUCACAUUUUUCAUAAGCUUGCUUUUUAAAUUAUGUAAAUAAUGAAUCAAGAGUAUACAGUAUAAUUUUUAAAUGACUAAAUUACAAGUGAUUUUUGGAAUGGGACUAUUCUUACCAGGGGAUUGACUGCAUACCUCGCACAGAGUCUCAGAACUGAAAGCUAACUUAACCUCCUACUACUCAAGUCUCCUGAUUUUUACCCAAGUGAAUAGGA